AUUGAACGCUGGCGGCAUGCUUUACACAUGCAAGUCGAGCGGCAGCGCGGGGGCAACCCUGGCGGCGAGCGGCGAACGGGUGAGUAAUGCAUCGGAACGUAUCCUCGAGUGGGGGAUAACCCAGCGAAAGUUGGGCUAAUACCGCAUGAGCUCUGAGGAGGAAAGCGGGGGGCCUGCGAGGGCCUCGCGCUGGAGGAGCGGCCGAUGUCCGAUUAGCUAGUUGGUGGGGUAAAGGCUUACCAAGGCGACGAUCGGUAGCUGGUCUGAGAGGAUGAUCAGCCACACUGGGACUGAGACACGGCCCAGACUCCUACGGGAGGCAGCAGUGGGGAAUUUUGGACAAUGGGGGCAACCCUGAUCCAGCCAUGCCGCGUGAGUGAAGAAGGCCUUCGGGUUGUAAAGCUCUUUCGGACGGAACGAAAUGGACGGGACUAAUGCUCCUGUCUGAUGACGGUACCGUAAGAAGAAGCACCGGCUAACUACGUG
rnacentral:rRNA from 1 species